rnacentral:rRNA from 1 species
GAGCGAGAAAGUGGAGCAAUCCAUGAGUACAGCGGCGCACGGGUGAGUAACACGUGACUAACCUACCCUCGAGUGGGGAAUAACUUCGGGAAACCGAGGCUAAUACCGCAUAACACCCACGGGUCAAAGGAGCAAUCCGCUUGAGGAGGGGGUCGCGGCCGAUUAGUUAGUUGGCGGGGUAACGGCCCACCAAGACGAUGAUCGGUAUCCGGCCUGAGAGGGCGCACGGACACACUGGAACUGACACACGGUCCAGACUCCUACGGGAGGCAGCAGUGGGGAAUUUUGCGCAAUGGGGGAAACCCUGACGCAGCAACGCCGCGUGGAGGAUGAAGUCCUUCGGGACGUAAACUCCUUUCGACCG